AGAUUUAUUCUCAGUAAGUCCUUAAAAGAUGCCAGGGCUCAUGGCUUUGCUUUUUCUUACCCAACAAUAGUAGUAAACUGAGCACCAUAUGAGCUGCUUGAUUGAGAACACUUCCAAAUGCUGUGAAAACAUAAUCCUGUUCACAGUGUAACACUCAUCUCACAUUACAGCGCAACAGGUACCUAUUGAAUAAUCAGCACCCUUGAGAAGCCUCGAUGUCUCAGAUACAACUCAAAAGUAAAAUGGUUAGGGAAUGGGGCUGCUGGAUAUCAAUUCUACACUUAACCUGUGCAUCCAGCUACACAUUUUCCAUCUACCAAUCUGCCUUCCCAAAUGCCAUCACUACAUUAACAUUUUUUAUGCAUUCCACAGCAAUGACAAAUUGUUUUCUAACUGUAGGGCCAGAUUUAGUAUGCGAAAGACAUGUUUGCCUCUGCCAACAAACCAAUAAUUCUCACUAACGUCUUCAGAGUUACAACAUUUAUAAAGUUGCAAAGUGGAGUAAACAAACCAUCUGUUUGGCUUUUCCAUAUAUGUCAUGCUUUCUUAUUAGCAUAUUACGAUUCAUUUAGUAAACAAAUUUGGUGAUUUCGUUCACGUCAAAGUUAGAUCGGAAGCUUGAAGAUGAUUAACAUUCCUGGGACAAGCACAUUAAUACAUUGCUUCCCCUGCAAAGUUAAAUGGCUUCUCAGGAGAAUCGCCCCUUGUUGACAAGAUGAGACUGUCAAUUUUGUCUGCCUGCCACAUUAGGGGCCAUACGGGGAUGGCAGGCUCUGAGAGAGGGGAGUCGUGUAGGCAGCAUAAUUCACUGUGAAUUGAGAAAAGAAGUCUAAUUCUGAUAAAUGGUCGACCCCAAUACAUCCUACCUGUUAUUACAACAGACGUGCCGUAUCUGUGCAGUAAAUUAGCUAAACCCCUAAAGAGUUUGGUAGGAGCUUAUCUUCAAGUGAAUAAUUUGAAUGUAGAGGAAACUGUCUGCGUGACUAGUAUGGAUGAUUUGUUUUAUAUUGAAAGGGGUUGAAAUGACUGAGUUUCAUACUUUUAAUUUGCAAGAAUUUGCUUAGAUUUUGUUUCUUGCAUUUAAUAUGUACUUCCUUACAUUUGGGGCUUUUUGAGUGUUACCCACUAGAAUUUCACAUUGAAUUUUCUUCCUGAGCUAGGGGAUGGUUUUCAGAUCUUUUGGACAGAAUCUUUAAAUAAUAACCUGUAGAACAACUACUAAUUUUACAGAAAGGUAUAGUGUCAAAAGUAUCAUUUUGUGCACAGAGCCAUAAGCAUCCUAUCGUUAAUAAAUGAUAAUACAAAAAUGUUGAGGUAAGUGUAAUAGAUAGUGUUGUAGCAAUCCAGAUAAGAAAAGGACUAAUGAAGGCAGAAGUUUUAAUUUUUCAUUUCUGUGGAUUUUGAUAGCAGGUUUACAUUUCUACUCAAAAGUAUUGUUGACUCAGUAGUCUUACAAUGUACUUAACCCUAGCAUCUAGACUUACCCAGAUUGGAUAUAAAUUUAUCUCUCUCUCUCCCAUUCUCCCCAUAUACAUAUAUGUACACACAUACAUACAGACAAAUAGGCAUGCAUAUGGUAUGUAUAUGUUAUUGUUACGCUAUGUAUAUGUUGUUAUGAUCAUUCUGUACAAUAUCAUUUGAGAAUUUGUGAAUGUGUGUGUUGAACGGCAGAGUUGAGCUGGAAAAUAAAGGCAAAAACUAAUCC
rnacentral:lncRNA from 10 species